GUCGACAAGAUGGCAACCCAGAUGGGACCAGAGAGGAACUGAAGAUCUUCCAAGGGGUGGUUUCGAACCCAGUGCCUGGUACCAGCACAGCGGGCCCUGUGAGCCCCCUCUGGCUCCGAGCUUCUCCUUGGGGGAGAUUCGGUCUGGCCCUGGUGUCAGCUCCCACAGAACAUAACAUCUGGUACGUGGGAAAGGUCGUUUUUGCUGGGAAGGAAAACAAAAUGAGGCGGUGGAAGUUGCUGAUUGUUCCUGUAACAGACUUCUUUUACCCCACCUAGUACCGACACCUGGGGCAACAGAUGUGUUACCGAUGGAAACAGCCUGGCCAGAAGAAAAAUUAAACUUAUUAGACUCUGAACCAGUACCAGUAU